GCAGGGGACUCAUCGACGAGGUGCCUUCGCGCGGAAACGCGCGAAGUGGACGGGAUGAAUUCAGGGAAACCUUCGGGAUCAUCUCCCAUGGCAAUCCUGAGCCGAGCCGCCGGUACACCGGCGGAAGGUGCAGAGACUACCUGAGGGCUCGAGUGCCCUUGAUGACAGGCUUGGAGCAUCCCGCACCCACACGCGCAGCCUCGAGCGCACGGGUGAAGAGAUAGUCCACUCCCGGCGGAAACGCCGGG
rnacentral:ncRNA from 1 species